rnacentral:rRNA from 1 species
AUUGAACGCUGGCGGCAGGCCUAACACAUGCAAGUCGAACGGUAACAGGAAACAGCUUGCUGUUUCGCUGACGAGUGGCGGACGGGUGAGUAAUGUCUGGGAAACUGCCUGAUGAAGGGGGAUAACUACUGGAAACGGUAGCUAAUACCGCAUAACGUCGCAAGACCAAAGAGGGGGACCUUCGGGCCUCUUGCCAUCGGAUGCGCCCAGAUGGGAUUAGCGUGUUGGUGGGGUAACGGCUCACCAAGGCGACGAUCCCUAGCUGGUCUGAGGGAAUGACCAGCCACACUGGAACGGAGACACGGUCCAGACUGCGACGGGAGGCAGCAGUGGGGAAUAGUGCACAAUGGGCGCAAGCCUGAUGCAGCCAUGCCGCGUGUAUGAAGAAGGCCUUCGGGUUGUAAAGUACUUUCAGCGGGGAGGAAGGGAGUAAAGUUAAUACCUUUACUCAUUGACGUUACCCGCAGAAGAAGCACCGGCUAACUCCGUGCCAGCAGCCGCGGUAA